AUAACUCUGUGAUACUCGUUAGUCCCCUGGAUGAUCCUUUGCCGUACUUCUUGAAAAGACGGGUCAACGCCGUCGCCGGUGUGCAUGCUCAUUGCGAUGAGAAGCCUGAUGGCGGCGGAAGCGGCCUGUUCUCUGAACCCAAUGGUUCAAAGGAGGACGGGGACGACGACUUCUACGGAGUUAUC
rnacentral:other from 1 species